rnacentral:rRNA from 1 species
CCUACGGGAGGCAGCAGUGAGGAAUAUUGGUCAAUGGCCGGAAGACUGAACCAGCCAAGCCGCGUGAGGGACGAAGGUCCUCUGUAUUGUAAACCUCUUUUGUAAGGGAAGAAUAACUGCUACGUGUCGCAUGAUGCCUGUACCUUAUGAAUAAGCAUCGGCUAACUCCUUGCCAGCAGCCGCGGUACUACGGAGGAUGCGAGCGUUAUCCGGAUUUAUUGUGUUUAAAGGGUGCGGAGGGGGUUGGUUAAGUUAGGGGUUAAACGUGGGGCUUAACCUUGAUGUGCCAUUUAUACUGGAAGACUCGAGUUGAGAAGAGGUAGGCGGAAUAAGCUAAGUAGCGGUGAAAUGCGUAGAUAU